AUAAGUCUCUUUCAUGUGAGAUUUAUUUACAUUGUUAUUAUUGCAGAUUAAAAUGAAUACACUGGCGUUUGGUUUGUAUGUUUAUUUUUGUAUAUGUUGACACGAGUUACAUUGAAAAAAUGAAACUCAAAACGCUGACGCCUGAUUAGCUCUUCAAUGUUAUUCAGGAAUGUACUGCAACCGUUGCUGAUGUAUUUUUUCCAAAGUUUUAGUUAAUACUUAUUCACGUUCAUUGUAGCCUAAUAGUCUUGAAUAAAACAUUCUCAGAUUCCCCAAGCCGUGCGGCCAUACUCGACCCACAGCACAAGCGAGGGGUUUGUUCCAGAGCCGUGAUGGCAGGAAGAGGUCGGGGACGUGCCUCAUUUACCUUUAACAUCGAGGCGCUUGGCCUGGGCAGGGGUGAAGCUCUACCAGAUGUUGCGUAUCAGCCACGGCAGGUAUACCCUCCAACAGAUUACAAACCAUUGCCCUUGAAAACAGGAGAGGAUGAAGAUUAUAUGCUGGCCUUAAAACAUGAGUUAAAAGAAACUAUGCAAUCGUUACCUUACCAUAUGGAUUUUCCGAGUGUGAAGAAAGGCAAGUGUAAAUUGCAUCUGAAGACUGUAUCUGUAAGAUGCAUCAUUAUGUUUUAGCUCUGUUAGUUUUGCCAUGCAAGCAAAAACUAAACUUGGUUUUCAUUAAUGGGUGCUGUCUGUCUAUCUUGA